rnacentral:rRNA from 1 species
UUUAACGGCCGCGGUAUUCUAACCGUGCAAAGGUAGCUGUAAUCACUUGUCUUCUAAAUAAAGACUAGUAUGAACGGCUAAAUGAGGGUAAGACUGUCUCUUAUAAUUAAUCAGUGAAACUGACCUUCCAGUACAAACGCUGGAAUAAGCACAUAAGACGAGAAGACCCCGUGGAGCUUAAAACUAAUCACUAACACAUUAUUACCCUAGUGCACUGUUUUCAGUUGGGGCGACUUCGGAAUAAAACAAAACUUCCGAGCACAGAACCACCACUUCCUACUAAGGCCAACAAGCCCAAGUACAACCUGACCCGGCUCCAAUGCCGAUCAACGAACCAAGUUACCCCGGGGAUAACAGCGCUAUCUUCUUCAAGAGUCCCUAUCAACAAGAAGGUUUACGACCUCGAUGUUGGAUCAGGACACCCAAAUGGUGCAGCCGCUAUUAAAGGUUCGUUUGUUCAACGAUUAACAGUCCUACGUGAUCUGA